UUCUCAUCAGCUGCCUGGAGCUUCCUCAGCCGCAUCCUUUCUCUUGGUGUCAUUUUCUGGACUUCAGACAGCGCCCGCAGAGUCUGCAGAGUCAUCUCCGAAUAUCUACACAUCAGGUGCUAAAAUAGAAAACAACCCUGAUGCAUCUUAAAUACUCCUCUUCAGGGAUGAAAGGGCAUAAAACUACCAGGGGUCUUUUCUGAUGUGCAGUAUUAAUGACCAUGCCUGGGAGCUUGAAAAUAAAACCCACUGUGUUCCUGAUAAUGUAUGAUUACUUUUUCUUGGGUACUGGGUCCUCUUCCCAGCAAUCAAAUUGCAAAAUACGGGAGCCAUAGGCCUUCCUUUCAGCACCUCCAGCAUCAGCACUGUGACCAGCACACAACUGAUGGGUGCACAUCAAGUCA